UUUCGUCUUGUGGUUUUGCCGGGUCAUUCGUCAAGAAACUUAAAUAAAUUGCUAUUUGUUUGGAUUUUUGUUGCAAAAUAAUACAAAAAUAUUCCAGGCACAUCCGGAAAAGAAGUAAACGAGUUAACAACAAAUUUAUUGUGCAAAAAGAAAGCCAAUAUCAACAAUCUGAAAAAAUUUUAAUUGUAAACGUUUACAUGACUUUGUGGCGGCCUCUGGCACAGAUAACUUUAAGAAAUUGGAAGCAAAGGAGAAGAAAAGUAAAAACAACUGUAAUCCGUUUUCCAUGUUGCCACGAGAGGCCAAGUAUAUUGCAAAUAUUCUUCCAAUAAGAAAAUAACAUGCAGUGGCGACCUCUGGCAGUGUAUGUGUUUGUUUCGUUUACUCACGCUAGAGGUGGACUCUAGCGCCAAGCGGGUAAACAAAGAAACUGCAAUAUUGGCGCGGAAUUCAAAUUUGAUGUGAAUUUUAUGAAAAUCUUAUUUAUAGAACUAAAACCACAACCUUGAAUUCAAGCAACAUUUGAAGAGCUAAGUGACCAUAAAAGUGAUAUAUCAAGAUCAGAAGACAAACUGGAAUAGAUGAGCGAAAGAAAUGCAUCUUAAGUAUGUCUAAAAAGAAGUGUAACUUACUUUCAUUUCAUUUGCUAACGGAUUCCCUUACUUUGGAGCUUGAAGAAAAUGCAGGGCCACAUGGUGAGCCCCCCCACCAUGAGGGGGCAUUUACUACAUACGAAAGAGAGACAAAGGUUCCUCACCCCCCUUGCACCUGCGCCUGCACCUGAACCUGUCACACUUGCAUCUAGCUGUUUUAUGGAUAUACGAAAAUCGUUUAACUUUGAUUUCAUAGUUCUCUGAUUUAUAUCCCUCAAGUUUAUGUAGCGCCGUUGGUCAUAAAUAUCCCCCCAAAUAUAUAUAAACAUAUAUGUAUGUAAAUUUAUGGCCAUGCGACGCUUCGGCUACGGCUUCGGAUUCACCAUCAGCAUCAGCAUCAGCAUACCAGAUGAUGUAGAGCUCUGCUCCAUCUGGCCUGAUGACGGCCGUUAGCGGUUCUUUUGUCCAGUUUUAAAGGCCCGAGAGCAGCUAUUAAAAUCGAAUAAAAUCAAUGUUUAAAUAUUUCGGCUUUUUCGUUAUGUUUUGUUAUGCUAUAUAUGUAUGUAUGUAUGUCUUUCUUUCGUUUCCUUUUUAAUGAAUAGUCCAUUGCCAUAAAUCAGUAAUGUAUACGUUGGUUCCUCUGCCCACGAUACGAUAUUUAUACAUUCAUUUAUGUAGUGCCAAUAAAACUCUUGUUGUAAUGAUGCAUUUAUAAAAAUGUAAAA